UUUCCGCUGCCAUGUAAGAAGUGCCUUUUGCCUCCCACUAUCAUUCUGAGGCCUUCCCACCCAUGUGGAACUCUGAACUCACAAGAAAAUAAGGAAGACCUCCUGGAGGGAAAACAAGCAAGAACUGAAAACAAGUGCCGUCAGUGAAUGGAAUGAGGGAUACGAUGCAAGUCACGGAAGAAGAGUUUCCAAUUACACCAUGGCGGAGAAGAAAGAAAGAAAAUGACACAACCACACGUACCACAGCUCAGAGUUUCAAAGACCACGUUAAGAUUUCUCAAGCAUGUACCCUGUGACAGUCACUUCACUAAAAAUCAGAAACUCAAACAUGGAACUGGAUGCUAGUUCUGUCCUCAAGAAGCUCAGAGUCUUUCAGAAAAAGAGGAGCCGUGAGACAAAUUACCAAGUGCAAGCUCAGAAGCCUUGCGUUUGUGGUGAGAGAUGAAGAGGGAGUUUGUAAAGAUGUGAAAGCAGGGUCUUUCUCCUUGAAGUUCUGGGGAGGAAUUGUAAAUCUGUUUGUCUAUUGCCAAAGAAUACUUGCCUUGGAAACUAGAGAGAGCCUCAGAUUCAGUCUCAGUGAUAAAGUGCUUCUAAACUGGGUCAGGGACAAAAACAAAGGACAGACGAUACCAUAAAUAAUGAACUUAUGGGGCAGAAAGUGUCAGCUCAAGUAUUUAGAGGCUCUCUACAAGGAAAAGGAAACUAGGAAUGUAAUGAUUUCAUGAGAGGUUUUGGAAGCCUUCAAAAUCAAUAAAUCAAUUAAUUAUUUAGUUCAGUACUUUUCUCUCUUACUAGCAUAUUAUGAUUUCCCCAACUUCAUCUCUCCCUGGUCAUAUCUGUCCUCUACAAUAUUCCAAGGUUGAUCUUUCUGGGAUAAUAUUUUGAUCUUGUUACUCUCCUUUUAAGAAUAAAGGUAAAAUUUAAAUGGUCA
rnacentral:lncRNA from 1 species